CGUGGAUAAUCUACCCGAUAGAUCGGGAUAACAUUUCGAAAGGGAUGCUAAUACCGGAUAAGCUCACGAUGUCUUUGGACGCUGUGGGAAAAGGUGGGGACCUUCGGGCCUGCCGUUAUCGGAUGAGUCCGCGGCCCAUUAGCUAGUUGGCAGGGUAAUGGCCUACCAAGGCUACGAUGGGUAGCUGGUCUGAGAGGAUGAUCAGCCACACUGGAACUGAGACACGGUCCAG
rnacentral:rRNA from 1 species